UACGGGGGGGGCAAGCGUUGUUCGGAAUUACUGGGCGUAAAGGGCUCGUAGGCGGCCAACUAAGUCAGACGUGAAAUCCCUCGGCUUAACCGGGGAACUGCGUCUGAUACUGGAUGGCUUGAGUUUGGGAGAGGGAUGCGGAAUUCCAGGUGUAGCGGUGAAAUGCGUAGAUAUCUGGAGGAACACCGGUGGCGAAGGCGGCUCACUGGACCGGAACUGACGCUGAGGCGCGAAAGCGUGGGGAGCAAACAGG
rnacentral:rRNA from 1 species